CAGCGUCACGAGUGGCAACCGUAUUUAUUGGGCCUAAAGCGUCCGUAGCCGGUUUGAUAAGUCUUUUGUGAAAUCGUUGAGCUUAACUCAACGGUGUGCAAGAGAUACUGUCAGACUUGGAAUUGGGAAGAGUUAGAGGUAUUCUGGGGGGAGCGGUAAAAUGCUAUAAUCCCUGGAGGACCACCAGUGGCGAAAGCGUCUAACUAGAACAAAUUCGACGGUGAGGGACGAAAGCCAGGGGAGCAAAACGGAUUAGAUACCCGAGUAGUCC
rnacentral:rRNA from 1 species